rnacentral:rRNA from 1 species
AAUCUUCCGCACUGGACGAAAGUCUGACGGAGCGAUGCCGCGUGUGUGAUGAAGGUCCUCGGAUCGUAAAACUCUGUUGUUAGGGAAGAACAAGUAUCGGAGUAAUAUGCCGGUACCUUGACGGUACCUAACCAGAAAGCCACGGCUAACUACGUGCCAGCAGGCGCGGUAAUACGUAGGUGGCAAGCGUUAUCCGGAAUUAUUGGGUGUAAAGGGCGCGCAAGCGGUUUCUUAAGUCUGAUGUGAAAGCCCACGGCUCAACCGUGGAGAGUCAUUGGAAACUGGGAAGCUUGAGUGCAGAAGAGGAGAGUGGAAUUCCAUGUGUAGCGGUGAAAUGCGUAGAGAUAUGGAGGAACACCAGUGGCGAAGGCGACUCUCUGGUCUGCAACUGACGCUGAGGCGCGAAAGCGUGGGGAGCGAACA